GCACCCUUAGCUCAGCUGGAUAGAGCGUCGCCCUCCGGAGGCGAAGGUCGCAGGUUCGACUCCUGCAGGGUGCGCCA
rnacentral:tRNA from 1 species